GAUGGAUUCUGUAACGGAGCCAAUCUGAUUAACCUGCAAUGGAAUGAAACAAGGAGUUGGAAUGAUAUGAACAUCAGCCCUAACAACCAAAAGCAACAUCGCAAAGGAAAUAAGGGAGGUGCAAUCCUAGAAGAUGUUAGGGCAUGAACAAGAGAAACACAAAAGAAAUGAAAACAAGGAUUAGUGUGACAAAUUUCAGAGCAGAUAUUCCUACAACAGAGGAUGAUUUACAAUCACUUGCCUUUAGCAGCAAGCCAUUGCAAGCCUUUUUCUUAAUUGCUUCAGCAAUUUUCUUCGGAUUUGUGACCAACAGAUCAUCUCCAACAAUUUGGAUAUCAACUGAAGACUGUAUGGAGCACCAUGAGCUCCAGUCAUCUUGGUCAAAGGGAUCUUCAAUGGACACAAUUGGGAAAUCUCUGAUGAACUCUUUGUAAAGGUCGCGAAGGCUCUGUGCUGCGAGCACAUGAGCUCCAUCAUUUGGCUGCUUCUUGAAGUUUAAAUCAUAUUUCCCGUCCUUUGUUAAGAACUCGGAAGCAGCAACAUCCAUUCCUAUCUUGAUCUGAAUUAUCAAUUUAUUAGUUUACUUUUUUCAGAACUUUUAUCAAAAUAUGCAAGAGAAAAUCAAAAGACUAUAACAAAAUGAUAAAGAUCGGAAUUUCUA